GGGGCUGAUUCUGGAUUCGACAGGAUUUGCGAAGCCCUAGGAGCAUGCCGAGGGGCGGUUUGCCUCGUUAAAAGCCGCAAAAAAAUAGUUGCAAACGACGAAAACUACGCACUAGCAGCUUAAUAACCUGCUUAGAGCCCUCUCUCCCUAGCUUCCGUUCUUAAGACGGGGAUUCAAGAGAGGUCAAACCUAAAAGAACUCGUGUGGAUACCCGGCCUGGGGUUGAAGCAUUAAAACCAAUCAGGCUAGUUUGUCAGUGGCGUGUCUGUUCGCAGCUGACCGGCGAAUGUAAAGACAGACUAAGCAUGUAGUGCCGACGGUGUAGUAAUUCUGGACGCGGGUUCAACUCCCGCCAGCUCCACCA
rnacentral:tmRNA from 1 species